AUUGCAAAUUUUUUUACAUUAAUUUUCUUACUUUCGGUCUUCGGGUGCCAUUGGGCUGUGCUUAGCUGAACCUCCACUAGAAAUCAUUGCUGCACUGAGAAGUCACAGAGCAUGGGGAAAGGGAGGACGCCGACGCUUCAAUCAACAAUAGCAUCGCAUUCCAUCUAAAAACUCAAUCCAGGCCUGCUUUCCAAUGAGAGGAAUGAUGCUCACUUGAUAAUGCAUAUUUCAUGGAACUCUAUCACUACAGCUGACAAAUUGGAAGUUGAAGAAUUUUGAGAUGUUUGAAUUUGUAGUGUAAUCUGUUUGGCAUUGGGUUAUAUCCAAACUUGGUAUUUUGCUGUUGUAGUGGUUUGAGAAUUACUGUAUCCAACCUUAUGUAAUUAUUUUGAUUUUAAGAAUAGAUGGAUGUGAAUGCGUAGGCGAAUUAUGGGUUAUAGAUUAGUUGGAGAAUUAUUUGCCAGUUGAUGAAUGUAGUUUUGAAUGUCAGAGUUGAUGGAUGUAAUUUUUCUUGUACACGUUUUGGAUUACUUCUACAGAUUUGAUGAAAGUAAUUGGUCUUGUAAUGUAUUGCUUAUGCUAGGUGUUGAAAGUGAUUGAAUACAUUCUGUUUUACCUCUCCCACCAUA